rnacentral:rRNA from 1 species
GACGAACCGUCCUAACGUUGUUCGGAAUCACUGGGCUUAAAGGGCGCGUAGGCGGGUUCCCAAGUCGGUGGUGAAAUCUCUCGGCCCAACCGGAAAACAGCCGCCGAUACUGGGAGUCUUGAGGGAGGUAGGGGUCGAUGGAACUUCCGGUGGAGCGGUGAAAUGCGUAGAUAUCGGAAGGAACGCCGGUGGCGAAAGCGAUCGACUGGACCUUUUCUGACGCUGAGGCGCGAAAGCCAGGGGAGCAAACGGG